UACGUAGGGUGCGAGCGUUAAUCGGAAUUAUUGGGCGUAAAGCGCACGUAGGCGGCAUUGCAAGUCCCAUGUGAAAGCCCACGGCUUAACCGUGGAAGUGCAUGGGAAACUGCAGUGCUUGAGUACUUAAGAGGAUCGCGGAAUUCCCGGUGUAGAGGUGAAAUUCGUAGAUAUCGGGAGGAACACCAGUGGCGAAGGCGGCGAUCUGGGAAGAUACUGACGCUGAGGUGCGAAAGCGUGGGGAGCAAACAGG
rnacentral:rRNA from 1 species